rnacentral:rRNA from 1 species
AACAAACGCUGGCGGCGUGCCUAAUACAUGCAAGUCGAACGGGGAAAGCUUUCGGGUGAGUACUAGUGGCGCACGGGUGAGUAACGCGUGGAUAAUCUGCCUUAGAGUGGGGGAUAACCAGUCGAAAGAUUGGCUAAUACCGCAUAAGACCACAAGAACUGCGGUUCAAGGGGUCAAAGGUUCUUCGCUCUAAGAUGAGUCCGCGUAAGAUUAGCUAGUUGGUGAGGUAAUGGCUCACCAAGGCGACGAUCUUUAACUGGUCUGAGAGGAUGAUCAGUCACACUGGGACUGAGACACGGUCCAGACUCCUACGGGAGGCAGCAGUAGGGAAUAUUGCACAAUGGAGGAAACUCUGAUGCAGCGACGCCGCGUGAGUGAUGAAGGCCUUCGGGUCGUAAAGCUCUGUCGCAGGGGAAUAACACAAUGAAGGUACCCUGUAAGAAAGGAUCGGCUAACUUCGUGCCAGCCGCCGCCGUAACAC